AAUUAAGGGGAUGAGGGUCAGGAAGGGAACCUGGGGUCAGCACACGUGGAGUUCUGGGUGGGGCGCUGGGCAGAGGGACUCGGCUUCUAGGGCUCUGAGCCAGGCCGAGGGACAGACUGCUGGGAAGUCCCCAAAAGGGCAGCAGCACUGAGGGGCAGGAUUCCAGGGUCCUGGAGGCGGAAGCUCGGCCGACUGACUCCCAGUUCGAGAGAACGGGGCGGGGGCAGCCCACCAGUGCUGGAACCCGAGGGGCCGGGCGAGGAACGCUGGACUGGGAGCAGGACCCUUCUCGCCUCGGACAAGACUCCUUGUCUGGGGACCCAGCCCGACUUCAUUGUAGCUGGGUCCUCGAGAAAGCGAAAGGAGCCCUCCUUCCCCAUUGGCCUCUCCAUCGCUGCAUCCCAAGAAGAAAGACAACUCGGGCUCCACUUGCUUGCUUUUUAAUAACAGAGCAGAGAGAAUACAAGGCCAGGAGCGGGGCCUGGAGGAAAACAGGACUUGGGGUGCUCCUGUGAGAGCGGUGGGUUGAGAUGGGAGCCCACGGGGGCUGUUAAUGCCUAGUUCAGAGGAUGGGAAAGGCAGUUGGAGAGACGAAGGAAGGGGAAACGCCUUCAUGUCAGCAAUGAGGGUGACUCUAGUGACGGAACUAGUCUUGGGUCCCUGGGGCACCACUAGCCUCUCGGCAUCGGUGGUUUCUCCUUACUCUUCAGACGCUGCCAACUCCAUCCCCCAGGGAUUGUGAAGGGGGUUCCUUCUGGCUGUGACAGUGCUGAACGAGGCCAGAGAGUGCAGCUGCCUGGAGGCACAAGCCUCCUCCUGAUCCAGGGGGCUCCAGGGAGACCAAAGCAGCUGUCAAGAUGAGAGAAAUUGAAAAAGAAAAUGGAAAACUCUCCAGCCUGGCUCUCAGCUUCUGCAUCUCCAUGCAAGACCAGAGACCCACAUCACUCCCUCACUCCACCCAGUUCCACUCCAACAAUACCUGGGCCCUGCCAGGAGUGAGAAAACGGUCCUCUUCCUGUGGAUAGGUUGCUCUCUCCUCUUCCAGAUCAGGGUAUUCAUUGGUGCUGGGGAAUCCACAGCCCUCUUCGCCAAGCACCACUGGCUCAGAUGCAGCCCCAGAGCUGCCCCACUGGGCCUUCUUCAGUCUGUGGAGACUUUAGGCUGAGGAGAGAAGUGCCUGGAGGCCAGGCUUCCUGUCUCUCCAUUCUUCACCUUUCUGUUCUGAAAUACUUCCUGCUGGGACUCCAGGGAGUUGUCAUUUGACCUUUAACCCUCCACUCCCAAUUUUCUGCUCCCCUCAGACUGAAGCAUAUUGUCUAGGAACCCAGAGGUGACCCCAACCUCCCCACUGUCCUCCAGUUCUAUGGUUUGCUUUCCUGUCUUCAGUGAUCUAGUUUCCACUCCUUCCAGCUCAUGUGGCUCAUCCUCCUUACUGCAGUUCCCUCCUUCUUUCCAUAUUACAGAAAUCUGUUUCAAUCACACCAAAGCCCACAGCUUCCUUCCAAGCAACCUCCCCUCAAAGCUCCCCUCAAACCUCCCCUCAAAGCUGUCAACCCCUUCCUUAGCUCAAACUGUUCUGCCCCCAAAUCCUGCAUGACUCCCAGAACCCAGAUGUCUCCCUUCCUUACUCGUUGAUGAUGCUCUGACGCCUUCUUAGGUCCUCCAGGUGGUAAGUGACAGCCCUCACCCGGGCGGGGACUCCCCCAAGGCCCUGCUGCUGCAUUCCUUCCAAACAUGGCCUCCUCUUCUUUCUUCUCCAAAGCAUUUCAGGGGGUGGGAGCUGCUCAGGAGGAUACAGACCAAGCUGGGAGCAACCAGUGGCUCUCUGUGCCAGAGAAUGGGGAAAAAGAGCUAGAAAGAAGAACUGGCUCUCUCAAGGGAGCUUGGAUUGAACUAGGUAGGGAGUCUGGGGUCUUGGGAAGACCCCUGUGAUCUCGAAAACAUGAUGACUGAUUCAUAGAAAGGAAGGCCUGGUCAGUGCACUGGUUGGGGAAUAACAGAGGGAAGCGGUAAUAAGGAGAGCUUGGGACAGGACAGCAGUGGGUGCAAUUUUAACAGAGAAAUGUUAAACGGCAGAGGGUCUGUCUUACCAGCAUGGGUGGAAUGUGCUGCUCCUCCAGCCAAGUGGGGCUGUGAAGAACAAAAAGGGGGCUAUAAGUGCAGAGGGGACAUGUCCAUCCAUAUUGCUUCUUUAAUAAUCUCUCCCGACCUCCUUUCUGUCAUUAGGAGCUACAAUGUCCACCAGCCAGUGGGAAAUUAACCGCAGACUAGGGCCUAUUGCUAUAUGGGUUUAUGGUAGUUUAAUCCAGUUAAGACCACAUCCAGUUAGUUUCCAUUUUCUCCUCUACUCACGUGGGCCUUUGAUUAAGGUUCUUCCAGAAGACAUCUCCAUAACGCUGGGGCAUGGGUCUGAGGCUCUGGGAAGGCAACCUUGGGGGUGGAGAUCGGCUGACCACCCUGGAACACCUGAGGUGAGGACAAGGUAGGCUCGGGUCUGGCUCUUCCCUUACAGCAGUCUACUCAUCCCAAGGAUUCAGGGGCCAUCUUUCCAUGGGACUAUAAAGCUGCCCAGGUUCCCUCGGGCCAUGUCCUCUCUUAACCACUUUAGCUGAAGAAGGUGGUAAGGCCUCUGCUUUGAAAGGAAAUUGAAGCUGGGUUGAGGGUGGAGAUUGGCUAUAGUUUGACCCUCAGAUCUCACUGAGUUUAAGCUCUAUAUCGGGGAUGUCCAAUCUUUUGGCUUCCUGGGCCACAUUGGAAGAAGAAAAAUUGUCUUGGGCCACACAUAAAGUACACUAACACUGGCCGGGCGUGGUGGCUCAUGCCUGUAAUCCCAGCACUUUGGGAGGCUGAUGUGGGUGGAUCACCUGAGGUCUGGAGUCCAAGACCAGCCU
rnacentral:lncRNA from 1 species